GACGAGGGGCCUAGCGUUGUUCGGAAUCACUGGGCGUAAAGCGUAUGUAGGCGGGCUUUUAAGUCAGGUGUGAAAUCUCCCGGCUCAACCGGGGAGGGUGCGCCGAAUACUGAAUGACUUGGAGUGCGGGAGAGGAAAGUGGAAUUCCUGGUGUAGCGGUGAAAUGCGUAGAUAUCAGGAGGAACACCGGUGGUGUAGACGGCUUUCUGGACCGUAACUGACGCUGAGACACGAAAGCGUGGGUAGCAAACAGG
rnacentral:rRNA from 1 species